UGGGGAAUUUUGGACAAUGGGCGAAAGCCUGAUCCAGCAAUGCCGCGUGUGUGAAGAAGGCCUUCGGGUUGUAAAGCACUUUUGUCCGGAAAGAAAUCCUUGGCUCUAAUACAGUCGGGGGAUGACGGUACCGGAAGAAUAAGCACCGGCUAACUACGUGCCAGCAGCCGCGGCAAUACGUAGGGUGCAAGCGUUAAUCGGAAUUACUGGGCGUAAAGCGUGCGCAGGCGGUUUGCUAAGACCGAUGUGAAAUCCCGGGCUCAACCUGGGAACUGCAUUGGUGACUGGCAGGCUAGAGUAUGGCAGAGGGGGGUAGAAUUCCACGUGUAGCAGUGAAAUGCGUAGAGAUGUGGAGGAAUACCGAUGGCGAAGGCAGCCCCCUGGGCCAAUACUGACGCUCAUGCACGAAAGCGUGGGGAGCAAACAGGAUUAGAUACCCUGGUAGUCCACGCCCUAAAACGAUGUCAACUAGUUGUUGGGGAUUCAUUUCCUUAGUAACGUAGCUAACGCGUGAAGUUGACCGCCUGGGGAGUACGGUCGCAAGAUUAAAACUUAAAUGAAUUGACGGGGUCAUAGCUG
rnacentral:rRNA from 1 species